rnacentral:rRNA from 1 species
GAACGCCGGCGGCGUGCCUAAUACAUGCAAGUCGAACGCUUCUUUCCUCCCGAGUGCUUGCACUCAAUUGGAAAGAGGAGUGGCGGACGGGUGAGUAACACGUGGGUAACCUACCCAUCAGAGGGGGAUAACACUUGGAAACAGGUGCUAAUACCGCAUAACAGUUUAUGCCGCAUGGCAUAAGAGUGAAAGGCGCUUUCGGGUGUCGCUGAUGGAUGGACCCGCGGUGCAUUAGCUAGUUGGUGAGGUAACGGCUCACCAAGGCCACGAUGCAUAGCCGACCUGAGAGGGUGAUCGGCCACACUGGGACUGAGACACGGCCCAGACUCCUACGGGAGGCAGCAGUAGGGAAUCUUCGGCAAUGGACGAAAGUCUGACCGAGCAACGCCGCGUGAGUGAAGAAGGUUUUCGGAUCGUAAAACUCUGUUGUUAGAGAAGAACAAGGACGUUAGUAACUGAACGUCCCCUGACGGUAUCUAACCAGAAAGCCACGGCUAACUACGUGCCAGCAGCCGCGGUAAUACGUAGGUGGCAAGCGUUGUCCGGAUUUAUUGGGCGUAAAGCGAGCGCAGGCGGUUUCUUAAGUCUGAUGUGAAAGCCCCCGGCUCAACCGGGGAGGGUCAUUGGAAACUGGGAGACUUGAGUGCAGAAGAGGAGAGUGGAAUUCCAUGUGUAGCGGUGAAAUGCGUAGAUAUAUGGAGGAACACCAGUGGCGAAGGCGGCUCUCUGGUCUGUAACUGACGCUGAGGGUCGGAAAGCGUGGGGAGCAAAC